UACGUAGGGGGCUAGCGUUAUCCGGAAUUACUGGGCGUAAAGGGUGCGUAGGUGGUUUCUUAAGUCAGAGGUGAAAGGCUACGGCUCAACCGUAGUAAGCCUUUGAAACUGAGAAACUUGAGUGCAGGAGAGGAGAGUAGAAUUCCUAGUGUAGCGGUGAAAUGCGUAGAUAUCAUGAGGAAGACCAGUGGCGAAGGCGGAUCUCUGGACAGUUCCUGACACUGAGGCACGAAGGCCAGGGGAGCAAACGGG
rnacentral:rRNA from 1 species